CGGGACACUCCUUUCCAUCGGUAAUUUGCUCUUAGCUUCUUAAGCAAUUUUUUCUGUCCGCAGUGACCUCCGGUUCCUCAAAGUAAAAAAUGAAUGGAAUAAAGUGAUAAAUGGAUUUGAAACUCGCUGGAAUUUUCUUAAUUGUAUUGGAGCAAUCGACGUGCUCCUUCAGUGCCCUCCGAAUUCCGGUUCUCAAUAUUUUAACUACAAAGGAACAUUUAGCAUUGUACUGCCGGCAAUGGUGGAUCAUAUCAAUAACUACCUAUAUUGAUAUUGGUAGUUAUGGCAGCAGUUCAGAUAAUUAAAUAUUUGCCAAGUCGUCUCUUCAAAAAGCUAUUGAGGAAAAUUUAUUGAACCAACCUGACGGAUCUGUUAUCUUAGGGGAUGAAGCAUUUCCACUCAAGCCAUAUUUAAUGAAACCCUAUCCCAGACGAGAACGAUUAACUGUUGCCCAGAAAGUAUUUAAUUAUAGACACUGUAGAGCGAGACGUACAGUAGAAAAUGCAUUUGGAAUCAUUUCAGCCCGUUUUUGUGUAUUCAGAUCGCCAAUAUCACUUGCUCCUCACACAGUAGUAAAAUUAAUAAAAGCUGCACGUGUUUUGCACAACUGGAUAAGAAAAGUGAGAAAUGAUACAACAGUUACAGCAGAUAUUGAGGAUCAUGAAACAGGACAAAUAAUUCCUGGUAAUUGGCGCAGUGCCAAGUCAAAUGGUAUAGUUGAAUUAAAUGCAACACUGAAGCGUAACUAUUUACCUAAAGCUCGGCAAAAAAGAGAAGACCUUGCUAACUAUUUUAUAGAGGCAGGGGCAGUUGAUUGGCAGUAUAGAAUGAUAGAAUAGAGAAAAGACUUUAAAAUUCAUCAUCUAUUUUUUGGUCUCGCUAUUUGUAUAAAAAUAAUGGAAAUAAAACUUACCAAAUCAGA